CCUACGUGGUGCAGCAGUGGGGAAUAUUGGACAAUGGGCGAAAGCCUGAUCCAGCCAUGCCGCGUGUGUGAAGAAGGCCUUCGGGUUGUAAAGCACUUUCAGUGGGGAAGAAAGCCUUGGGGCUAAUACCCUCGAGGAAGGACAUCACCCACAGAAGAAGCACCGGCUAACUCCGUGCCAGCAGCCGCGGUAAUACGGAGGGUGCGAGCGUUAAUCGGAAUUACUGGGCGUAAAGCGCGCGUAGGCGGUCUGAUAAGCCGGUUGUGAAAGUCCCGGGCUCAACCUGGGAACGGCAUCCGGAACUGUCAGGCUAGAGUGCAGGAGAGGAAGGUAGAAUUCCCGGUGUAGCGGUGAAAUGCGUAGAGAUCGGGAGGAAUACCAGUGGCGAAGGCGGCCUUCUGGACUGACACUGACGCUGAGGUGCGAAAGCGUGGGUAGCAAACAGGAUUAGAUACCCGGGUAGUC
rnacentral:rRNA from 1 species